rnacentral:rRNA from 1 species
AUGGACCUUCACGAUUAUGCACAAUUUAACCCCGACGAGUUGCACGCAGGCUACCUAAGCUGCUUGCACACAAGUCGUGAUAUAGAAGCUGGCAUGGUCAACCUUAUGAGGCAAAAGUAUGAGAAAUCUUUAAAUCUGAAGGAGUCAGAACCGGGCAAGGUAACCAAGAAGAUUAAGCAUCAAGAAGCCGAAAGUGUGAAGGCUGAGUCCAAAUUCCAGUUUUCAUUGAAAGAAAACGAAGAUUUGAAAGCUAAAUUUGCCAUGAAGAGAGCCGCCUGGGAUUCUGAGAAAGCUGCCUUCUUAAAAUGUGCUGAAGAUGUCGAGGCACAGCUUAAACCAGUUACUGAUGAGCUUGCCGGCUUCAAACAAUAG